rnacentral:rRNA from 1 species
UACGUAGGGGGCAAGCGUUGUCCGGAGUAACUGGGCGUAAAGGGCGCGUAGGCGGAAAAAUAAGUCAGGUGUGAAAAAUAUAGGCUCAACCUAUAAAGCGCAUCUGAAACUGUUUUACUAGAGUAUAGGAGAGGGAAACGGAAUUCCUGGUGUAGCGGUGAAAUGCGUAGAGAUCAGGAAGAACAUCAGUGGCGAAGGCGGUUUCCUAGCCUAAAACUGACGCUGAAGCGCGAAAGCAUGGGGAG